rnacentral:tRNA from 3 species
GCCCGGAUGACGAAAUAGGUAGACGUACGGGACUUAAAAUCCCGGGCCGCAAGGCGUGCGGGUUCGAUUCCCGCUCCGGGCACCA